GGAGCACAAGAUCAUCAGGAGGCAGAUAAGGAAGGAGAAUUGGUUCACCAACACCCUGAUGUGAAAAGUGACAAACCCAAACCUGGCAUCAGUGCAAUUCAAGAAUAGGUUAUGGGUUGUCAAGACUAUCAAAGCAAACAUAAUUCUGAAGAUGGAGGAUCCUUAGAGUUGGUGACAAGAAAAGUCUCGAGAUGUUGUUGGUGUCAUGGAGGAAGGAAGAACGCCAACAGAAAAUAUCAACACAUACUGAUGGGUGUUUGGGCUUUAUCGGGUCAAGCUAAUGACGUUACAAGAGCGCUUGUUGGGAGGCAACCCAGUUUCUUUUUUUUUUUUCGUUUUGAUUUUAUUUUAUUUUAUUUUAUUUUAUUUUGUUUUAUUUUUUUGGAUUAUGUGUUGCUUCUGAUGACAGUAAUGAUAGCAUCUACUGAUGGAUGCUUCUACAACAUCUACUGAUGGAUGUUAGGUUAUUUGGUGUCUAUUGAUGGAUGCCAAUGAAGAUAAGAAAGAUUAGCAUCUACUGAUGGAUGCUAUAUGCUUAGACAUUUACUGAUGGAUGUCACUAACGGCGUUUACUGAUGAAUGCUACUGGAAUAAUAUCUACUGAGGGAUGCUAGAAGAUUUAGGUAUCUACUGAAGGAUACAGGAAGGUACACCUACUGAUGGGUGACGGUAAGUUUUGCACCUACUGAUGGGUGCUAGAAAGGUUUGGGUCAGGCUCGUGACGUUAAACAAGCGCUACCUGGGAGGCAACCCAGUUUUCU
rnacentral:lncRNA from 1 species